GACGAACCGUGCGAACGUUGUUCGGAAUCACUGGGCUUAAAGGGCGCGUAGGCGGUCUAGCCAGUCCGGGGUGAAAGCCUCCAGCUCAACUGGAGAAGUGCCUUGGAUACUGCUGGACUCGAGCGAGGUAGGGGUGAUGGGAACUUCCGGUGGAGCGGUGAAAUGCGUUGAUAUCGGAAGGAACGCCGGUGGCGAAAGCGCAUCACUGGACCUCUUCUGACGCUGAGGCGCGAAAGCUAGGGGAGCAAACGGG
rnacentral:rRNA from 1 species